GUGUGCGCGUGCGUGUGCGCGGGGGCGCGCGCCGGCGGCGGGGGCGGCGGCGGGCCGGGGCGCUCCGGUGGGAAGGGAGGGGUGAAAGGUCGCCGGUCCCCGGCAACACGGCUCAGGCAAACGUAAGCGGCUUGUCGCAGCAACCGAGGGGUCCAAGAAACGCGCUAGGCGGGAAGGCGGGAAGCAGAGAUUACGGACAGCCGUGGCAGCCAAUAAAAUGGAAAUGUGGGAAAGCUCUCCGGGCCCCUUCCCAAUCAGGGAACUUGGGGCUGAGAGGGAGGGAAGGGGCGGGGUGGCAUCUCGGGUCCGGCCGGGACUGGAGCGGCGACAGUUUUGGCUAGUCGGAGAAGGGCAUUCGAGUGACCGUUGACAACGGGUGGGACAGCGUGAAAGCUGAGGGAAGAACCUUAAGUGUGUGCUUCCAGGACUUCGGGCUAGGUGUAUCCGUGUUUACGUUUGAGAGUUAGGAGCAUCGAGGAGGCAUUGGGAUGAAAGGCAGAUGACAGUCUGCUGAAUGAAGAAGAGAAUGACGUUUAGUUUGGGAAUAAAAGUUCAUCUGGAGUAUGAAAAACACGUUUGCCUCAAGUCAGGGAGGAAGAUUGACUGAGAGCUGAAAGAAAGGGAAAGCAGGUGCUCCUGAUGAGCUUGAAGAUUCGACCCCCUCUACACCUGGCUCUGAUAUACCUGAUAAGGGCCUUGGAUAUGAGCUGAUACCAUAAAGGAAUGGGAAUUUGCAGAGGUCUGGGAAGGUGGUACGUAUCUUAUCUCUGGAAAGAGGUACUUUGGUUUACCCCUGCUUAAAAACAACAGGCAAGGGGCCAGCCCCGUGGCUAAGUUUCUACUCUCCGCUUUGGCAGCCCAGGGUUCACCAGUUCGGAUCCUGGGUGCAGACCUACGCACCACUCAUCAAGCCAUGCUAUGGCAGCAUCCCACAUAGAAGAACUAGAAUCACUUACAACUAGGAUAUACACCUAUGUACUGGGGCUAUGGGAAGGAAAAAAAAGGGGGAAGAUUGGCAACAGAUGUUAGCUCAGGGCCAACCUUCCUCAAAAAACAAAACAUAAAACCCAAAACCAACCAAACAAACAAAAAACAGCACGCAAGAGAUAAGGUCUAUUAAUCUUAUGUCCUUUCCAUAAAAGGAAAACAAAUGUUAGAUGUCUGUAUCAGAAUGUCUUAGCUCCCAAGUAGGAUAUUUUCCUGGGGUUCCGACAUAACCGGUAGUAUUUGACAAUUUGAUAUGCUUUGAACUGGCUUUGAAAAACAUGCCCAUAAACAAAAGCAACUAACGUUUAACGGUGGUCUUUUAGGGAACUUGUUAGGUGGUUAAGUUUAGAGCAGGAAAAUCCUUUAAAGAUUUUCAAUAUAUUUUUAAAUUAUUCCUUAAAAGAAAAAAAAUUUGCUGUCAUAUUUAGUUUUCCAACUUUUAUUAACAAACUAAGAUCAAGUUGUUCUAAUUAUUACUUUGAGUGAAUAUCAGCAGUUUGGUAUUAAAUAAGUUAGUUAUUAUCUACUAUAAAUAAUAGAUCCUUAUAUUAGUGCCAAUCAAUGCUAGGUAUUUUAUAAACUUUUCAGUAUCUUUGGUAAUGUUUGACUCAGAUUUUUUAAAUUAAGAUUAGGUUUAACACUUUGUCCAGGUUGGCCCAGAACAGACUCAGUUUAUGCCCAUUGUCUCAUUAUUACCAUUAUCAUUAUUAAUAUUAUUGCCCUCUCUUAUUCACAAACUGUACUUGUUUGAAUGAUAAAUUAUAUGGUUACCUUAUCUCAAGUGGUAGUUAUAUCUAAGAUAAAACUAUGCACACUUAGAAAAGAAUAUUAGAAAUGUUUAAAUAUUUUAAAGGUUAAUAAUUUUUUUUUGCCAAAUAAUAG
ensembl:lncRNA